UCCGGCAUGGUGUAGUGGCUAGCAUUUCCGCCUCUCAUUCGAAGCUUUACAGCUUCAAUCAGGUCGCGGGAGACCGGGGUUCAAUUCCCCGUACCGGAA
rfam:Botryotinia fuckeliana BcDW1 unplaced genomic scaffold Scaffold_190, whole genome shotgun sequence.